AAAAGUUGUCUUUAUUCUUAUCUAACUGCAGGCUCACUUAAUUCGAUGAGUUUGGAUCGUAGGGCGAGCGUAGAGGGCGGAACAGUUUAACCUGUUACAAUAUCCAGAAUGGAGCUGUGCCAAAGAAGCGCGAGUCUCAUGAAGCAACUCGAGCACUGCGUUGACGAUAGGUGGCAUUGGUCUCCGAUGAUGGAAUUCCAGGGGUCAGUAGUUGGUUUAUUCACAAGACAGUCAGUUCAACAUGCUCGAGUUUUUGUUUUAGCGAUGCAAUAUUGCUAAUAACGGUGAAUACCAUAAACAGCCGGUUGGCUGUAAAAGUAAA